CAUGUUAAAACUAACUAAAUCAAAACAUAUAUAUAUAUCAAUACAUUAGCCUAAAAAGAGCUUAAACAAAAGAAUUGUCACACGUAGUAAAAUAUAAUCAGUCCGAUAAGAAAACGCAAGCCUAAUACUGUAAACCAAUUAGGUUAAAACCAACAAGAAAGUACAUAACAAUAGUUUUUCCUCCAAAGAGUGCUAUAACAGAUAGCAAAAACCACAAUGUUAUUAUCCCACAAACGCAAGCCUAAUACUGUAAACCAAUUAGGUUAAAACCAACAAGAAAGUACAUAACAAUAGUUUUUCCUCCAAAGAGUGCUAUAACAGAU
rnacentral:lncRNA from 1 species